AGUGCUGGCGCAAGUCGUCUUGCGCCAGGCGACUGGGUCUGAGGAGGCAGGAGUUAUUCAUUCCCUUAAGCUUUCAGGCCGGGGGGAGAAUCUUUCAGGUGGUAGCUGCAAGAACUCUUAGUAUGUUGACCUCACCUCUGCCUUCCACAUACCACUACCAGUGAGGAAUUAGGAAUGCAUGAGAAGAGUGUCCAAGAAGAGUGUCCUCAUUCAUGCAAGGCUUAAGAGAGAAUGCAGGUCAACAUCACCAUGUCAAUCAGAGGUGCAGAUGCUGAGAGCACUUUCUAGUCAAGUCCUGCAUGUUCAUUUCUGUCUCAAGUCAGCUUCUCUGAGAAUCCAAUUUAUAAAAAUAUAUUUGUGAAUGUAUAAGUAAAGUGACUUGGAUUUUGUCUACGUACAAGGACUUCUAUGCCUGCAUAAAACAGGUCUCACCAUGUGAUACAUUGGCUCCCAGUCACCUUCUGCCAUGAUUGUAAGCUUCCUGAGGCCCUCACCAGAAGGUGAACAGAUGCUGGCACUAUGUUUCCUGUACAACCUGUAGAACCAUGAGCUGAUAAAACCACUUUUAUUUACAAAU
rnacentral:lncRNA from 1 species